rnacentral:rRNA from 1 species
AUGUGUAGCAAUACACGUGGUAGCGGAGCGUUCCGUAAGCUGAUGAAGGGAGACCCGUGAGGGCUCCUGGAGGUAUCGGAAGUGCGAAUGUUGACAUGAGUAACGAUAAAGAGGGUGAGAGACCCUCUCGCCGAAAGACCAAGGGUUCCUGCUUAAAGUUAAUCUGAGCAGGGUUAGCCGGCCCCUAAGACGAGGCGGACACGCGUAGUCGAUGGGAACCACGUUAAUAUUCGUGGGCCUGGUGGUAGUGACGGAUUGCACAAGUUGUUCAUUCUUAUUGGAUUGGAUGGGCAGCGGAGCGGUUCCARGAAAUAGCUCCACCGUAUAGACCGUACCCGAAACCGACACAGGUGGUC